rnacentral:rRNA from 1 species
AUUGAACGCUGGCGGCAGGCUUAACACAUGCAAGUCGAGCGGUAACAGAGAGAAGCUUGCUUCUCUGCUGACGAGCGGCGGACGGGUGAGUAAUGCCUAGGAAUCUGCCUAGUAGUGGGGGAUAACUUGCCGAAAGGUAAGCUAAUACCGCAUACGUCCUACGGGAGAAAGGAGGGGACCUUCGGGCCUUUCGCUAUUAGAUGAGCCUAGGUCGGAUUAGUUAGUUGGUGAGGUAAUGGCUCACCAAGACCGCGAUCCGUAACUGGUCUGAGAGGAUGAUCAGUCACACUGGAACUGAGAAACGGUCCAGACUCCUACGGGAGGCAGCAGUGGGGAAUAUUGGACAAUGGGGGGAACCCUGAUCCAGCCAUGCCGCGUGUGUGAAGAAGGUCUUAGGAUUGUAAAGCACUUUAAGUUGGGAGGAAGAGCAGUUAGCUAAUAUUUGACUGUUUUGACGUUACCGACAGAAUAAGCACCGGCUAACUUCGUGCCAGCCGCCGCAGUAA